UACGUAGGCAGCGAGCGUUGUUCGGAAUUACUGGGCGUAAAGAGUGUGUAGGCGGUGCUCCCAGUCUGUUGUGAAAUCUCCCGGCUUAACUGGGGAGGGGUGCAGCGGGAAACUAGAGUGCUAGAGGGGUGGGGAGAGGUAAGCGGGAAUUCCUGGUGUAGCGGUGAAAUGCGUAGAUAUCAGGAGGAACACCUGUGGUGUAGACAGCUUACUGGACCACUUCUGACGCUGAGACACGAAAGCGUGGGUAGCAAACAGG
rnacentral:rRNA from 1 species